AGCACUGUUGGAAUGGUAAUCCAUGUAUUGUAUCAAGGGAAAUUAUGUAAGGAAUGUUACUGUAACAGAUAAGUGGCGCAAGAUUAAAUUGUGUAAGAGUGAUCACAGCAACGUGUUGCGUUAUCAUGUCUCUGAAAGAAAGUAACGCUAGCAAUACUGGCUCAAGUGAAUCAGAAUAUGAUGAAGUUAAAACAACAUUAUUGUACCACAACCUGAGAGAUAAUUUUCAGCAAGUAGGAAGCCAAUUGAAGAAGUACAGUGAGAUUAUACAAGAUCUUUCAAAAGAUAUGGAUGACAUAAAUAAAAGCAUGGCUACGCUUCAAGAACACUCUCUGGCCGCAAAGAAUCAGGCAGCAAUCGGAGAAACAACUACCCAGCAGAAGGAAAUGGCAACUAUUUUGCCUGUGUCUCAGUGAGAAGUUUAUAGCAGAUAUAAGUGAGAUAUGGCAGGAAAGAACAAUCAGUGGUACUGGUUACGAGUGUCACUAAUGUCUCUACUACCACAGUGCACAAACUAGAUCAUACAUCAUAAACUCCACUUACUAUUAAAACCUUUACAUCAAAUGAAUGCUACAAAAUCCUCUUGGACAACCGACCAUCAGUACCAAGUUGAAAACCAAUUUUUCAGAGACUCAGCAUGACCGUGAUGAUGAAGACUGAGCGAGUCCCCAAAAUUCUGGUUUUUAACUCAGCACUGGCACAGCUGAUCACCCAAGAGGAUUUUAUAGCACUCUUACAUAUUUAAAUCAAAGAUCAUUUCCUUGUGAACUUAAUGAAGAAGUGGUUUUUGUAAAUUCUAACAAAGUUGGUUUUCUGAGUUAGGUAUAUUAUAUUAUGUAAUAUAAGUUCUCUUCAGACCACAUUCUUGUAUGAAGAACCAAAGGGGAAGUCUAGUAUAAAUCUUUCCAGACAGUCUACUUUAAUUUCUUGGUAUGGGACGUCACAGGAUAGGUUCUUUAAAGUGUUUGAGUAAUGUACAAAUCAACAAUUAAUCUUUGAUAUGCUUUUCAUUAAAUUAACAGAAUCAAUAAAUGUACAAGUCACAUUUUGCUAUUCCUUCUACAAAACGUUUUUUCUUCAUAUUCUAGCCACACUAAAACACAUGUUAAUGAAAAAUUAAAAUAAUAUAAAAAAUAAAUCAAGCACAGACAGUUGUAAAGUUGAA